rnacentral:rRNA from 1 species
UAGUACGGCGAGUGAGAGGGAGAGCCCAAGAUUGAAAGCUGGCGUCUUCGGCGUCCGCAUUGUAAUCUCAAGAAGUGUUUUCCGCUUCGGACCAAGCCUAAGUCCCCUGGAAAGGGGCAUCAUAGAGGGUGAUAAUCCCGUACAUGGCUUGGAGCGCCCGAGGCUUUGUGAUACGCUUUCUAAGAGUCGAGUUGUUUGGGAAUGCAGCUCAAAAUGGGUGGUAAAUGCCAUCUAAGGCUAAAUAUUGAGGAGAGACCGAUAGCGAACAAGUACAGUGAUGGAAAGAUGAAAAGAACUUUGAAAAGAGAGUUAAACAGUACGUGAAAUUGCCAAAAGGGAAGGGUAGGAGGUCAGAGAUGCGGCUUGGGAUUCAGCCUUGCUUUUGCUUGGUGUUUUUCCCAGAUUGCAGGCCAACGUCGGUUUUGGGCACUGGGGAAGGGUAGGAGGAACGUGGCACCCCUCGGGGUGUGUUAUAGCCUCCUACUGGAUACAGCGACCGAGACCGAGGACAGCAGCGUACUCGCAAGAGCGGGCCUUCGGGCACCUUUACGCUUAGGGCGUUGGCAUAAUGGCCCUCUACCACCCGUCUUGA